rnacentral:lncRNA from 1 species
GGUGGGCCAGGAAGGCAACCAGCCAGAGAUCAAGAUUGCACCUGUCCCAAGACUGGAAGACUGGGUAUAAAAACAGAACAGUGGACACAACUCCAAGAGAAGGUUUUGACCAAAUGUCUUGAAUCAUAGAAGAUUUGACUGUAAACCUACUCCACAGUUUCUAUUCGGUGGAUGAUUUUGCUGAACUGAGCUAAGAUAGAAUUGGAUAUUGAAGAGCUAAAGUGUGUUGACUUUUAAAAAUUUUUUAUAAGCUCAACUUUGAUUUUAGAUUCAGGGGAUACAUGUGCAGGUUUGUUACAUGGCUGUAUUGCGUGAUGCUGAGGUUUGGCGUGUGAAGGAUCCUAUCAUCCAGAAUCCUCCAAACAACCUCAAUGAUCAGCCAAGUGGAGCUGGGGAAGUGGAGCUCUGCACCCAAGCUGAGCUCCAAGUGCCAAGAGCAAAUAGAAGAGCUGGGAAAAGAAGCAACUUGUCAGCUGUAUUUCUGCGAACUCUCGGUUCUCUGGCCUUCAGACUCCAGGACUUGCAGCAGUCACUCCCUGCCCCUCGCAGGUUCUCAGGGCUUUGGCCUUGGCCUGAGAGUUACCCCGUUGGCUUUCCUGGGACCCGACCUUGCAGGACACACAUUGCGGGACUUCUCAACCUCCACAGUCACCUUCCAACGCAUGCUUCCUUCCACCACAGGACUCCUGCCAGUGCAGCCUGGAGCCCAAGCUCACCGUUCCCUCCUGUGGGACGCGUCACAUUCGAGACAUGGGUGGUAUUUCUCGUGCCACCCUGGUGCCUGGGCUGUACUUCUGCAAAGCUGCCUGUUAAUUGCCUGCUCUCAGGGGCCAAGGGCUUCAGAAAUGGGUUUCUUCCCUGUUGAUGCUUGUUCUCCAGUUCCCUGCACCAAUCCAAAUAGUAGAAAAAACAUAUGCCUGUUUCAUCAAGAAAAUACUGCUCCUGUGUUUUGGCAUUUAUGGCUGAGUUUUAAGAUGUAA